AGAGUUUGAUCCUGGCUCAGAGCGAACGCUGGCGGCGUGCUUAACACAUGCAAGUCGAACGUGAAAGGGAGCAAUCCUGAGUAAAGUGGCGUACGGGUGAGUAACGCGUAGGUAAUCUACCCCAGAGUCUGGAAUAACCUGCCGAAAGGCGGGCUAAUACUGGAUAGAGCGACGGAAUCCGUAAUUGGGUUUUUCGGGAAAGGGAGGAAGCAAUUCCCUUCGCUCUGGGAUGAGCCUGCGUCUCAUUAGCUAGUUGGUAGGGUAACGGCCUACCAAGGCUAUGAUGGGUAGCUGGUCUGAGAGGAUGAUCAGCCACACUGGAACUGAAACACGGUCCAGACUCCUACGGGAGGCAGCAGUGGGGAAUCUUGCGCAAUGGACGAAAGUCUGACGCAGCCACGCCGCGUGAGUGAAGAAGGCCUUCGGGUUGUAAAGCUCUGUCGAGCGGGACGAAAAAUUUUUAGGUGAAUAGCCUAGAGAUCUGACGGUACCGCUAAAGGAAGCACCGGCUAACUCCGUGCCAGCAGCCGCGGUAAUACGGAGGGUGCAAGCGUUGCUCGGAAUUAUUGGGCGUAAAGGGUAGGUAGGUGGUCUCAUUUGUCUGGGGUGAAAGCCUUGGGCUUAACUCAAGAAGUGCCCCAGAAACGGUGAGACUGGAGUCCUGGAGAGGGUCGUGGAAUUCCCGGUGUAGCGGUGAAAUGCGUAGAGAUCGGGAGGAACACCAGAGGCGAAAGCGGCGACCUGGACAGGUACUGACACUCAACUA
rnacentral:rRNA from 1 species